ACGCUAGCUACAGGCUUAACACAUGCAAGUCGAGGGGCAGCAUGGUCUUAGCUUGCUAAGGCCGAUGGCGACCGGCGCACGGGUGAGUAACACGUAUCCAACCUGCCGUCUACUCUUGGACAGCCUUCUGAAAGGAAGAUUAAUACAAGAUGGCAUCAUGAGUCCGCAUGUUCACAUGAUUAAAGGUAUUCCGGUAGACGAUGGGGAUGCGUUCCAUUAGAUAGUAGGCGGGGUAACGGCCCACCUAGUCUUCGAUGGAUAGGGGUUCUGAGAGGAAGGUCCCCCACAUUGGAACUGAGACACGGUCCAAACUCCUACGGGAGGCAGCAGUGAGGAAUAUUGGUCAAUGGGCGAGAGCCUGAACCAGCCAAGUAGCGUGAAGGAUGACUGCCCUAUGGGUUGUAAACUUCUUUUAUAAAGGAAUAAAGUCGGGUAUGGAUACCCGUUUGCAUGUACUUUAUGAAUAAGGAUCGGCUAACUCCGUGCCAGCAGCCGCGGUAAUACGGAGGAUCCGAGCGUUAUCCGGAUUUAUUGGGUUUAAAGGGAGCGUAGAUGGAUGUUUAAGUCAGUUGUGAAAGUUUGCGGCUCAACCGUAAAAUUGCAGUUGAUACUGGAUAUCUUGAGUGCAGUUGAGGCAGGCGGAAUUCGUGGUGUAGCGGUGAAAUGCUUAGAUAUCACGAAGAACUCCGAUUGCGAAGGCAGCCUGCUAAGCUGCAACUGACAUUGAGGCUCGAAAGUGUGGGUAUCAAACAGGAUUAGAUACCCUGGUAGUCCACACGGUAAACGAUGAAUACUCGCUGUUUGCGAUAUACUGCAAGCGGCCAAGCGAAAGCGUUAAGUAUUCCACCUGGGGAGUACGCCGGCAACGGUGAAACUCAAAGGAAUUGACGGGGGCCCGCACAAGCGGAGGAACAUGUGGUUUAAUUCGAUGAUACGCGAGGAACCUUACCCGGGCUUAAAUUGCAGAUGAAUUACGGUGAAAGCCGUAAGCCGCAAGGCAUCUGUGAAGGUGCUGCAUGGUUGUCGUCAGCUCGUGCCGUGAGGUGUCGGCUUAAGUGCCAUAACGAGCGCAACCCUUGUUGUCAGUUACUAACAGGUUCCGCUGAGGACUCUGACAAGACUGCCAUCGUAAGAUGUGAGGAAGGUGGGGAUGACGUCAAAUCAGCACGGCCCUUACGUCCGGGGCUACACACGUGUUACAAUGGGGGGUACAGAGGGCCGCUACCACGCGAGUGGAUGCCAAUCCCCAAAACCUCUCUCAGUUCGGACUGGAGUCUGCAACCCGACUCCACGAAGCUGGAUUCGCUAGUAAUCGCGCAUCAGCCACGGCGCGGUGAAUACGUUCCCGGGCCUUGUACACACCGCCCGUCAAGCCAUGGGAGCCGGGGGUACAAGAAGUGCGUAACCGCGAGGAGCGCCCUAGGGUAAAACUGG
rnacentral:rRNA from 1 species